AGGGGAAGGAGGCCCAUCCGGCCCCGCCCCUGGAUCCGCUCUCCUCUGCCGGCCGGCACUAUCCCGCUCCCUCAUCCCGAGUGUGUCUGUGUGGACGUGAGGGAGGGCGCGUAUGUUUGCAUGUUCAAGCAUCGCUCAAUAAAGACACUCAUUCUGACAUGUCUGCCCACGGCUUCCUUUACUGCCACACUGAGGCCACGCUUAGGCUGAAGGAGCAACACCUUAUGUUCCACCUGAGUAGCCACGGACAUCAAUUUCUCCAACUCCUGUCCUGAUGAAGGCUCCCGACUGUAACUCGGACUGCUGGUGAUGAAACAUAACAACUCCUGAGAAGUGACCUGGAUCCGCUCAAAUUUUUACCUACCGGCACAACGUGUCCACAGCAGAUGUCAUCUCACUGGCUCUUCACUCAGCCCUGGGGCAUCUGGACAGCACAGCUGCAUCAUCAGGAUGCCCUUUACCAACUACAGCUCAGCAUUCAAUGAUAUCAUCCCCUUAAAACUCAACAAUAAGCUUCAAGCCCUUGACCUCAAGAUCUCCUUGUGCAAUUGGAUCCUUGAUUUCCUCAUUUGCAGAUCCCAGUUCAGUUCAGAUUGGCAAAUACAUCUUCUCCGCAAUCUCCAUCAGCACAGGUGCACCACAAGGCUGUGUGCUUAGCUCUCUGCUCUAUUCACUUUAAACUUAUGACAGUGAGGUUAAGCACAGCUCCAGUGCCAUAUUUAAGUUUGCUGACGACACCAUUGGCAUUGACCGAAUCAAAGGCGGUGAUGAAUCAGUAUAUGGGGAGAUUGAAAAUCUUCCUGAGUUGUGCUACUACAACUUCUCACUCAAUGUCAGCAACACCAAGGAGCUGAUUAUUGACUUCAGGAGGAGGAAAUCGUAAGUCCAUGAGCCAGUCCUCAUCAGGGGAUCAGAGGUGGAAAGGGUCAGCAACUAAGUCAUCAUUUCAGAGGAUCUGUCCUGAGCUCAACAUGUAAGUGCAAUUACAAAGAAAGCACAGCAUCGCCUCUAUUUCCUUAGAAGUUUGUGAAGAUUCAACAUGAUAUCUAAAACUUUUACAAACUUCUAUAGAUGUGUGGUGGAGAGUAUUGACUGGUUGCAUUAUGGUCUGGUAUGAAAACACCAAUGCCCAUGAACAGAAAAUCCUACAGACAGUAUGGAUACUGUUGUGUAUUUAAGAUUUCAGUAACAUUUGAGUAAUAUUGUAAAUAUAUUGUUUGAUUAAGCUUUCUUUGUUUACAUAAUUCAUUACAGGUUAUAAGUAAGACGUACACACGUGGCAUAAGACAUUACACAAUCACGUCAUAUGUGAGUGCCUCACUAAAGUAAAAUGAAGUAGACACACUUUCCAGGGCUCCAGUGUUUUUCCUUUGAUUAGUUUCUGGAAUUACAAAACAUAACAGUGGUGAUGAGGUAGCUUUAAAAUGAACCGGAGACAACUACCUACCUGUUGAAGUGUGGCACAUUUUUCUUCAAAGGGAGAAAAAAGUGUUUGAGUUUUUAUAAAGCACAGUACAGUUUUAUCUUUGGAAGGGGAUAAACGGUGAGUACCAAAUGAUAAUCAAAUAAUUAAAUAAAAAGCAGAAAUGGCUGGAUACAUCGGAAAGAUUGAUACAGUUGAUUGCACAACAGGUAACUGAGGAAUGUAUACUGAAUGAACUGAGCGGUAUUUUAAAGCAAAUUGAAUAGCCAAUGAAAACGAGUGCUAGUUUGCUUAGAAGUUUAACUGCUCCAAACAAACCAGCCAAAAUGAACUUUGUUGAUAUGUUAAACAUAAUGUCGUAACCUUUAGAACCCAAAUCAUUGUUUAUUACAAAACGCUUUAGGUUUAAUAAGCAGAAUCAAAAGGUAGGGGCGUCCAUUUCAACUAACGUGGCUGAACUAAAGAAAUUAUCCUAGCAUUGUCAGUCCAGUAAUGGACUUAAUGAUGCACUGAGAGGUUGUUUAGUUAGUUGCAUCUUACAAGCAAACAUUCAAAAACGGCUCCUAACUGAAGUACAACUCACAUAUAAAACAGCAGUUGAAAUUGCUGUAUCAAUGGAAAGAGCAGCCAGAGAUGCCCAUCCUCACCACAUUCUACAGAGGUUGUAUUGAGAGUAUCCUGAGCUGCUGCAUUACUGCCUGGUACGGAAAUUGCACCAUCUUGGAUCGCAAGACCCUGCAGCGGAUAGUGAGGUCAGCUGAAGGGAUCAUAGGGGUCUCUCUUCCCGCCAUUACAGACAUUUACAUCACACACUGUAUCCGCAAAGCUAAUACCAUUGUGAAGGACCCGACGCACCCCUCAUACAAACUCUUCUCCCUCCUGCCAUCUGGCAAAAGGUACCGAAGCAUUCGGGCUCUCACGACCAGAUUGUGCAACAGUUUCUUCCCCGAAGCCAUUAGACUCCUCAAUUCCCAGAGUCUAUUCUGACACCAACCUACCUACACACACACACACAUACACACUCAACUGAACACCACUCCACUCCCUUUGCAAAUUUUGCUCAUUUCUUUCUCAAUUCCUGCUAAAACAUUGUUCACGUUGUUUACAUUUACAUUUACAUCAUUUAUUAUUAUAUUGUAAUUUGUCCUUUACUGUGCCUAUUGUCUUGUUUACUAAUUAUUGUACUGUCUUGCACUGUUUUGUGCACUUUAUGUAGUCCCAUGUAGGUCUGAAGUCUAAUGUAGUUUUGUGUUGUUUCAUGUAGCACCAUGGUCCUGGAGGAACGUUGUCUCGUUUUUAUUGUGUACUGUACCAGCAGUUAAGGUUGAAAUGACAAUAGAAGCGAUUUGACUUGACUUGUAGUCAGCAAUGAAAGUGAAUGUGAACAAAAUUGAAAUGUCUGAAUAGAAACCUGCCUGGCUGAACAAAUUGUGUUACUGUUGUGGCAGGGACUCACAUACACCAGACAAAUGUAGAUUUAAAAGAGAGACUUGCAAAAAAACGCAACAAAGUAGGACACAUAUAAAGCAUGUCUGGUGAACAAAAAUAGGGGAGAGAAAAAAAUAAAAAGUCAAGUUGCAGUUUCAAAAAGAGUACUAUUCUAUAUGCUGUUGAUGAAAAAUCUGUAAUGAUGAGAGUGACUCAGGAUUGGAUAGCCUUAAGAAUUACACUGUAAAAACUAACAAUAGUUAAGUAAUAUGGCCUAUACCAGAUGUGAAUGACAAAUUAAUGAAAAUAGAAUUGGACACUGAUUUGACUGUUUCAGUCAUUCCACAAAAUAAGUUUGAACAGCAGACACUGAACUGAAGCCUGCAGAUAU